UCGGGAAUUUUGGGCAAUGGGCGAAAGCCUGACCCAGCAACGCCGCGUGAAGGAUGAAAUCCCUCGGGAUGUAAACUUCGCAAGAACGGGAAGAAUAAGUAGGGGACAAUACCCCCUAUGAUGACGGUACCGUUUGUAAGCUCCGGCUAACUCCGUGCCAGCAGCCGCGGUAAUACGGGGGGAGCAAGCGUAGUUCGGAUUUACUGGGCGUAAAGGGCGCGUAGGCGGCCACAGCACGUCAAUUGUGAAAUCUCCGGGCUUAACUCGGCAAGGUCAACUGAUACUGAGGGGCUAGAGUGCGGAAGGGGCAACUGGAAUUCGCGGUGUAGCGGUGAAAGGCGUAGAUAUCGAGAGGAACACCUGCGGCGAAGGCGGGUUACUGGGCCGACACUGACGCUGAGGCGCGAAAGCCAGGGGAGCGAACGG
rnacentral:rRNA from 1 species